UGAAUGUGGUCACCAUUUCUAAAGUGUGUCAUGAGAUAAAUGAUCGGAAAAGGGUAAUGUGUCUAAGUUCGAAAAUAUUUUCAAUCGAGGAACAACCAAUAGCACCAAUCGAUGUAGUUGAAAUAUCCCAAAUGGUGUUUAGCGUGCGGGAUGUGUUUUGUUUUUUGAAUGAGUUUUUUCGUGUAUAAAUUGAAGGAUCAACUUGAGAAACGUUUCUUGUUCGGAUAAAAAGUUUUCACAUGUGAAUAAUGACAUAUACAACAAUGGCUAAACUACGCUUUCCAUUAGUGUUUGGUGGAAUAUUAGUGGCAUUCUCUAUAGCUUUCGUUAAUAGGGAUAAAUUCAUGACUGAUCUGGAAGAAAAGCGACAGGAACUGAAUCGCGAGGAAGAAGGCUCGAGACAAAUGUUGUUAGAUGCAAUUGAAUCAGCUAAAAAAAUCCGAGCAGCUAAAACUCAUCAUGAAUAGACAAAUAAAAUACUUUUUAUGUUCUCGUUUUGUA